GGUCUUGUAGUGUAGCGGUUAUCACUCGGGAUUCUGAUGCUAUGAUGUUCCCGAAACCCAGGUUCGAAUCCUGGCAGGACCU
rfam:Pisolithus microcarpus 441 unplaced genomic scaffold scaffold_165, whole genome shotgun sequence.